GGCAAUAAUACAUUUCUAGGAAACUUUCACCAAAUACUGUAAAGAAGAUUGCAUAUUAGAACAGACAGACGGAAAUCGUGUACCGCUGGUAAGAACAAUAUCCAGAUAUAACUGCUUUCAAACACAGCGAUUUAUUCACAAACUUUCAAAAAUUCCUUUUGUCACAUUUCCAUUUCCAAUAACCUGGCAUAUUCACUGUGAAUUGAUCUUGUGUUAGUUAUUUUAUUAAUGUCUAGAGAAUUGGUUUUAACAGGCGUUUCCUAGUAACAUUACUCACAGGUCAUUUACACAGGUACAUAUAUAAUUUAUUUAUUCUAUGUUGUUUGUGGUUAUAUUGGGGGGGGGGAAUCAGUUCUGCAUGGAAAUGAAUCACUCAGCAUAGUCAGCCCUCAAAAGCUAACGUUAUUGGGUUUUUUCAGAAUAUCCCAUGGUCACAAACGGCUAAAAUGUUUAGGGGUUAACUUGGAGAGAGCUGUGCUGGAUGACGCAUCUAGGGUGACAGACACAAGAGAGGGCAGAGACAUCGGGUGACAGGCUUGAGAGAGACUGCGGACACAACACCAGAAGGGUGACAGACAUCAGGAUAGGGUGCAGAGUGACGAAGUGAUCGAGCAGUGGAGGACCCUUGGAUCUAUCUCCCCAUCACUCUUACUGACAGACACCAGGGCUGUAGGCCUCCAUUCAGGCAUCACACACCUAAUAAUAAGGGACGAGGCUUAGUACAUAACCGGCCACAUCUCUCUGAAAGACUUAUUUAUACAUAGCAAGUACUGCCAUUCUGUAAUGUGAUUCCUACGGCACUUAAUUGCACACAAUGGGGGUAUAAUCCCUGGCUGUCCAGGGGGUGGCAUGUGGUCCAAGACCCCACUUUGUGCUGAUCAAUGUCCUGAACAUUACACAUCUUACUUGGCACUUUGCAAUAACACAGCAUGUUCCUCUCAAUAUGUUUCUGCUCUUUUGCCAUUUAAUAGUUUUGCAUGUUUUUUUUUUCUAUCUUUAACUUUUUUCAUGUUCUGUUCCAAUGUCACCAAUACUGGAUUUCAUUCAACAAACCUCGUAGGCUCUCCGAGAGCGGUUUAUUUACCUGUUUAAUUAACGCAAACAAUAGGCUUUAAUAUUUAAUGAUGUGAUAAUUAGCUGCUACCAACAUUAGCCCUCUUUUUUUUGUGUAAAUUUCUUUUUAUUUUUUCAAAAUAAAACUUGUAUCUGAUAUGCAUUGGUGGGCCUCCCAUGUCUCCAGACAAUGGACAUCACAUUGGGACACGCAGGUCCCUUACAUUGCAAACACUUGGAUCUUGCAUCACAUUGUAAUGGGAUAAUACAUCCUCAUAAUAACUCAGUUGGUCUCAAUGUUGGGUUACAUAUAUUGCUGAUAGAGGUAUGGUGUAGGAUAUCCAACUGUCUAACAGUAUAAAAUAAACAUUGUAACAAACUAAACUUACGGGUCUCAGUCACACUAUCUGCAUUUUGUAAAUUCCCUUUCACUUGAAGUUGUUGGCUUUUAUUUUUAGAUAGGAAAUAAAGGUUAAGACUCGCAGGUCCCUUAAAAUCUCAAGAAGGGACACGCGGGUCCCAGUACAUAUAUUUCAAGUGCGUGCAACCGUGUUUCAAUGUCAGGUAUGGUAAGCAACUGCAUCAUGUAAGGUAAAACGGUGUGACCCCAGCAGCUCAGCUCCCGGUUGGGCGUAUGUUUUACGUGUUAGGCAGGCGAGUGCGCCUCGGUGUGGUCACUCUCUGGGCCACACGCCGAGCCCCAUGGUACAGGCCCCUUUGAAGAAGAGGAUGGAAGAGAAGGAGGUGAAGCAGAAAUGAGAGAUAUGGCAAGGGGAGAAUGAGGUAUUAAAGCGGGUGCGGAUCAGCUCACCCACCUCCCGGUGUCUCCUACUGAGGAUCUUCAGGUCCCUCUCCUCCGUGGUCGCGGCAAGCGGGACCCCCUUCCCCGGAUAUCUAGUCCGGAACUCUUCCGUGACGGCACGUGCCAGCCAUGGUGCCCAUAUGUCCGUGUGCGUCUUGGGCUCAGUACCACAGCUCUUCCAUAACCCGUAACUCCUCCAUUUUGGUAUACCAAAGGGUCAGCGGUGGGGCUGUGUCCUUUUUCCAGCACAAGGGUAUUAGAUGCUUUGUGAUGUUAAGGAUGCGAAUGGUCAUGGAGCGUUUGUAGCAGGAUGUGGGGGAUGUUGUGUGGUGUAGAAAAUAGGUGACUGGCCGGAAGGGUGGAGUGCUAUCCGUGAACAGGGCUAUUGUCAGGAUCGUGACAGGGAUCCAACACGCAGAAUACAAACAGGGGAUAGGUACGUAUACCGGACCUUAGAAUGGCCGGACUAACGUAAG
rnacentral:lncRNA from 1 species